CUUCUUGGUCUGAUUGUAAAUAUGUGCAGCGCCACCUGGUGGUGCUGGUUGGUAGAGGAAGUGCUGAAAGGUUGGAGGUGUUUGUCAGAGGUGUGUGAUGAUGGAAGCCUCUCCCUGGUUUGUGAGUCUGAGCUCAGAGAUCAAAUGUUUGGUUCUUGAACUCUUUGUUGAAUGUGAUGCAGCUUCUCCUUUUUAAUGUUUGUAUUUCUGGAUAUCACAGUGAGGCCACAGCAGGUUUUCAGCAGCAGGUUGUUUAGUGUUUCAUUCCUUCAUCUGUGUGGAUGGAGCAGGUAUCCAGGUGUUGAUCAGAGUUUAGACUGAUUGGAUUUUAAUGGUGAUUAUUAAAUCAGGUUGAGCUUCCAGAAAUCUUUCCUGAUGUCCUUUUAGGCUUCAGUGAGUUUCUUCAGGUUGUUACUGAGGGAUUUCCUUUCUCCUCUCUGUUGGAGCUUUUCCUGUGUUUGGAGAAAUGAGUUGUGCUGCAGCAGCACCAACUGUCCUUCCUACAUCCACUGCAGUUUGCAAUCCAGAUGUUGGACUGUUCCUGUCUCAGUGGAGGACAAUGUGUGUCUGAGAGACAUGUAAUGUCCAUGUUUGCUGCUGAAAGAGACUGAUGGUCUGACCCCCCUCCUCCUUUCAGGGUGGAGCCUGCUGGAGGCCCAUUCUUGACACCAGGUCUGAGGAAGUAUUCCUGUCAACUCACCAUCGACACAAACACAGUGAACAGAAACCUCAAACUGUCUGAAGACAACAGGAAGGUGACACAUGUGAAGGAGCUUCAGUCAUAUCCUGAUCAUCCAGACAGAUUUGAUGAACCUCAGCUGCUGUGUAGAACUGGUCUGACUGGUCGCUGUUACUGGGAGGUCGAGUGGAGAGGAGGAGUUUAUAUAUCAGUGAGUUACAGAAGAAUCAGGAGGAAAGGAAACAGUAGAGACUGUGUGUUUGGAGUGAAUGAUCAUUCCUGGAGACUGAGCUGCUCUGAUGAUGAAGGUUACUCUGUCAGACACAAUAACAGAGAAACUCGUCUCUCCUCCUCCUCCGUCUCUAACAGAGUAUCAGUGUAUGUGGACUGUCCUGCUGGCAUUCUGUCCUUCUACAGAGUCUCCUCUGACUCACUGAUCCACCUC